AUUGAACGCUGGCGGCAUGCCUUACACAUGCAAGUCGAACGGCAGCGCGGGAGCAAUCCUGGCGGCGAGUGGCGAACGGGUGAGUAAUACAUCGGAACGUGCCCAAUCGUGGGGGAUAACGCAGCGAAAGCUGUGCUAAUACCGCAUACGAUCUACGGAUGAAAGCAGGGGAUCGCAAGACCUUGCGCGAAUGGAGCGGCCGAUGGCAGAUUAGGUAGUUGGUGAGGUAAAGGCUCACCAAGCCUUCGAUCGGUAGCUGGUCUGAGAGGACGACAAGCCACACUGGGACGGAGACACGGCCCGGACUCCUACGGGAGGCAGCAGUGGGGAAUUUUGGACAAUGGGCGCAAGCCUGAUCCAGCCAUGCCGCGUGCAGGAUGAAGGCCUUCGGGUUGUAAACUGCUUUUGUACGGAACGAAACGGCCUUUUCUAAUAAAGAGGGCUAAUGACGGUACCGUAAGAAUAAGCACCGGCUAACUACGUGCCAGCCGCCGCAGUAAUAC
rnacentral:rRNA from 1 species